rnacentral:rRNA from 1 species
AAUGGGCGAAAGCCUGACGGAGCAAGACCGCGUGCGGGAGGAAGGUCUAUUGACUGUAAACCGCUUUUGAUAGGGAAGAAGAUCUGACGGUACCUAUCGAAUCAGCAUCGGCUAACUCCGUGCCAGCAGCCGCGGUAAUACGGGGGAUGCAAGCGUUAUCCGGAAUUAUUGGGCGUAAAGCGUCCGUAGGUGGUUUUAUAAGUCUGUUGUCAAAUCGCGAGGCUUAACYUCGUACAGGCAGUGGAAACUAUAAGACUAGAGUGCGGUAGGGGUAGAGGGAAUUUCCAGUGUAGCGGUGAAAUGCGUAGAUAUUGGAAAGAACACCGGUGGCGAAGGCGCUCUACUGGGCCUGCACUGACACUGAGGGACGAAAGCUAGGGGAGCGAAAGGGAUU